GACGAACGCUGGCGGCGUGCUUAACACAUGCAAGUCGAACGGAAAGGCCCUGCUUUUGUGGGGUGCUCGAGUGGCGAACGGGUGAGUAACACGUGAGUAACCUGCCCUUGACUUUGGGAUAACUUCAGGAAACUGGGGCUAAUACCGGAUAGGAGCUCCUGCUGCAUGGUGGGGGUUGGAAAGUUUCGGCGGUUGGGGAUGGACUCGCGGCUUAUCAGCUUGUUGGUGGGGUAGUGGCUUACCAAGGCUUUGACGGGUAGCCGGCCUGAGAGGGUGACCGGCCACAUUGGGACUGAGGUACGGCCCAGACUCCUACGGGAGGCAGCAGUGGGGAAUAUUGCACAAUGGGCGGAAGCCUGAUGCAGCAACGCCGCGUGCGGAAUGACGGCCUUCGGGUUGUAAACCGCUUUCGCCUGUGACGAAGCGUGAGUGACGGUAAUGGGUAAAGAAGCACCGGCUAACUACGUG
rnacentral:rRNA from 1 species